CGGCGGGCUAGGCGGGCAGCUACCCCUUGCCUGUACCACAAAUGGGGUUCACGGUGGGCCGAAGCCCGCGGGCGGCGCUCGGAACUGCGCGUCGACCUGGCUUUCGGCGACGAAGUCCUGUCCCACCGGGUCGGCGGCGGCAGGGCUCAGGCCGGAGGGUCUGAGUUAACUGCCCUUGUCUCCCGAACCCCCCAGGGGCGGAAGUCAGCAAGGGUAAGGAGGACGUGCGGCGCUGGUGGCAAACGGGAUGGAGCUCGGGGCCAGCCAUCGGCUCGCAGGGAAGGCGUCAACCGCGGGCGUGCCCGCCG
rfam:Hadesarchaea archaeon YNP_45 contig_124_2864, whole genome shotgun sequence.